CCUACGGGGGGCAGCAGUGAGGAAUAUUGGUCAAUGGACGAGAGUCUGAACCAGCCAAGUAGCGUGAAGGAUGACUGCCCUAUGGGUUGUAAACUUCUGUUAUAAAGGAAUAAAACGAGGCACGUGUGCCUUUUUGAAUGUACGUUAUGAAUAAGGAUCGGCUAACUCCGUGCGAGCAGCAGCGGUAAUACGGAGGAUCCGCGCUUUAUCCGGAUUUAUUGGGUUUAAAGGGAGCGUAGAUGGGUUGUUAAGGCAGUUGUGAAAGUUUGCGGCUCAACCGUAAAAUUGAAAUUGAUACUGGCAGUCUUGCGUACAGUUGCGGUCGGCGGACUUCGUGUUGUAGCGG
rnacentral:rRNA from 1 species